CCCGUGGGAGCGUGGUGCGGAGCCCGGGCUGCUCGGAGCGCCCGCGGGCGCUCUGGGACCCGCCAGCGAGACCUCCGUCCCCUUCUCCGGCCCUCUCUCGUGCCCAGCUCCCGGCGAAAAGACCCACGCAGAGCCCCUACCGGAGCGCCCCAUCGGCACUCGGGGCAGGGGGCGGGGAGGGGUGUAGCCGGGGAGUGGUUCCGGGUCGCAAAGGCAGACUGCGACAGCAACGCAGACCAGGGAGCGGUGGCGACAUGACUGGCCCUACCAACUGGUAACAGUGACAAGAGCUUAAGCAUCCAGGAAGGAUUUAUCAACUCUUACCGGCGUUAUCAGGGAGUGUGAAGCAACAGGAUAAAACUACAGGAAGAAAUAAAAUAUAUAGAACCGAAUUUACAGAAUGUUCUGCAGACAAGUCAGAGGUUAAAACCAAACAAGAGAAUUCCUGGAACAUCAAAAACUCAAAGGAAUGUUUGAAUAAUGUAUAAGCUAAUGAAUAUUGCAUGUAACCCCAGCAAUGUAACCAUAUAUAGUGAACAUGAUUUUAAGCUACCUCUGUGCUCUUUGGCUGUGCGCCGAAAGCACCCCAGUGCUGGAUUAUUUUGUCCUAUUAUCCUUUAUUAAACUUUUAAAAAUUUUAAA